rnacentral:rRNA from 1 species
CAAUAGCGGAUAUUAAAGUUGUUGCAGUUAAAAAGCUCGUAGUUGGAUUUCUGGUGGGAGCGAUCGGUCUGGCGCUUAGCGCGAGUACUUGCAUCGUCUCCGGCCAUCCUUGGGGAGAGUCUGUCUGGCAUUAGGUUGUCGGGCAGAGGAUCCUCAUCGUUUACUGUGAAAAAAUUAGAGUGUUCAAAGCAGGCUUAUGCCGUUGAAUAUAUUAGCAUGGAAUAAUAAGAUAGGACUUUGGUACUAUUUUGUUGGUUUGCGCACCAAAGUAAUGAUUAAUAGGGACAGUUGGGGGUAUUCGUAUUCCGUUGUCAGAGGUGAAAUUCUUGGAUUUACGGAAGACGAACUACUGCGAAAGCAUUUACCAAGGAUGUUUUCAUUAA